UACGAAGGGGGCUAGCGUUGUUCGGAAUUACUGGGCGUAAAGGGCGCGUAGGCUGUGCUGUAAGUCAGGCGUGAAAGGCCCGGGCUCAACCUGGGAACUGCGUUUGAUACUGCGGCGCUGGAAUGCAGGAGAGGAUGGCGGAAUUCCCAGUGUAGAGGUGAAAUGCGUAGAUAUCUGGAGGAACACCGGUGGCGAAGGCGGCAUCCUGGACCGACAUUGACGCUGAGGAGCGAAAGCUAGGGGAGCAAACGGG
rnacentral:rRNA from 1 species